rnacentral:rRNA from 1 species
AUUGAACGCUGGCGGCAUGCCUUACACAUGCAAGUCGAACGGUAACGCGGGGGCAACCCUGGCGACGAGUGGCGAACGGGUGAGUAAUACAUCCGGAACGUACCCGAGUAGUGGGGGAAUAGCUCGGCGAAAGCCGGAUUAAUACCGCACACGACCUAUGGGUGAAAGCGGGGGAUCGCAAGACCUCGCGCUAUUGGAGCGGCCGAUGUCGGAUUAGCUAGUUGGUGAGGUAAAGGCNCACCAAGGCUACGAUCCGUAGCUGGUCUGAGAGGACGACCAGCCAC